CAAAUGUCCAGAGGACGCCUGGCUUUUAUUAUAAGGCGAGGCGGUGCUCUACAGAUGACGGACAGCUGCGUCAGCCAAUAAAAGACGCGACGUCCAUUCCACGGCCAAUGGUUGCAUCGCGGGGGCGGGGCUAGCUCGCUGUUUUAUUCGCAGUCUCGCCGAGCAAGAGGAGAAUCCCAAAGAAAUGACAUCCAGCUUUUCCAGAAGAAACCGCGGCGCUUAGACACGCUCUCCUGAAGUUUCCCUCCUCACAUCAGCACGGAUUACAGCUCGUUCUUCAGAUAUGUAGUGAUUAGACUUCGGAAUGUGUGUUUAAUACAGAAGGACAGUGUUUUUCCACACGAUUCUGAUUCCAAACUCCCUCAGCUUCUAUUCGGACAUGUGUGAUUUAAUGCCAGCGGCUCAGCCGGCCGAGAAAAUCGGGAAAAUGAAGAAAUUAAGAAGAACUCUGUCGGAGAGCUUCAGUCGCAUCGCCUUCAAGAAAGAAGACAGCGGCUUUGACGAGCAGGUGAAGAGAUUUUAGCAGACAGUGAGCUAGCAGACUAUUUAUUUUGGGUGAACGAGCGGUGAGCCGUGACGGAGAACAGGUACAUUGACUCUAGAUGCAGCCAGGAUUCGCUGCUGGUUUUGACUCGGUGCUUUGCUGAUUAUAUGAAAAAUGUGAUAAUGUAUAUAUAUAUACAGUACAGGUCAAAAGUUUGGAAACAUUACUAUUUUUAAUGUUUUUGAAAGAAGUCUCUUUUGCUCAUCAAGCCUGCAUUUAUUUGAUCAAAAAUACAGAAAAAACAGUAAUAUUGUGAAAUAUUAUUACAACUUAAAAUAAUAGUUUUCUAUUUGAAUAUACUUUAAAAAAAAAAUGUAUUCCUGUGAUGCAAAGCUGAAUUUUCAGCAUCAUUACUCCAGCCUUCAGUGUCACAUGUAACAUCCAGUCUAUCACAUGAUCAUUUAGAAAUCAUUCUAAUAUGAUGAUUCAUUAUCAAAGUUGGAAACAGUUCUG
ensembl:lncRNA